UGGGGAAUUUUGGACAAUGGGCGAAAGCCUGAUCCAGCAAUGCCGCGUGUGUGAAGAAGGCCUUCGGGUUGUAAAGCACUUUUGUCCGGAAAGAAAUCCUUGGCUCUAAUACAGUCGGGGGAUGACGGUACCGGAAGAAUAAGCACCGGCUAACUACGUGCCAGCAGCCGCGGUAAUACGUAGGGUGCAAGCGUUAAUCGGAAUUACUGGGCGUAAAGCGUGCGCAGGCGGUUUGCUAAGACCGAUGUGAAAUCCCCGGGCUCAACCUGGGAACUGCAUUGGUGACUGGCAGGCUAGAGUAUGGCAGAGGGGGGUAGAAUUCCACGUGUAGCAGUGAAAUGCGUAGAGGUGUGGAGGAAUACCGAUGGCGAAGGCAGCCCCCGUGGGCCAAUACUGACGCUCAUGCACGAAAGCGUGGGGAGCAAACAGGAUUAGAUACCCUGGUAGUCCACGCCCUAAACGAUGUCAACUAGUUGUUGGGGAUUCAUUUCCUUAGUAACGUAGCUAACGCGUGAAGUUGACCGCCUGGGGAGUACGGUCGCAAGAUUAAAACUCAAAUGAAUUGACGGGGUC
rnacentral:rRNA from 1 species